GCCGGGAAAAGCGUACAUAAUCAGAGGUAAUAAACCAAUUAGGAUGUCACACUAGUUUAAUUUAUCAUUUUUAAUUGAUACAUUUUGUAUUCUCUAGAAUCGAACGCCUGUGGCGAGACGUCUGGGUCAGCGUAACUCAGCUGUAUUAUGAAAUACUUCACAGCCUUGAAGAAGAUGGCUUGUUGGACUUGUCAGAUUCCCUUCAUGUGUUUUGUGCACAUUAUGUGUUCCUCCCACGUCUGAAGCGCAACCUCCACACUUUUUCUGAAGGCUGGGACAAUCAUCCGUUACGGUCUGAAAGUGGGCUCACCCCUAACCAGAUGUGGAUAAUGGGACACAUGCACAACUCAUCUGGUGACGAAGAGAAUUUUCAGAAUUUGGAACUGUUUGGAACAGACUGGGAGACGUUUGAUUGUGUGACAGAAGAUGAUGUUGGAGUUCAUGUUCCAGAAAUUGAGUGCCCACUCAAUCCUGCUCUGAUGGAAACAGUAAAAUCCAUCUUUAAUCCACUUGCAACAUCUGACUAUUAUGGCAGAGAUAUUUAUAUAUCUUUGGUUCAAUAUUUUGUAAGUCUUUAAAAUACACAAACACCUGUGUGAGACCAUUGUAAAUAUUUAUUUUGCAAAUUGUGUAUAUAUUUUGAAAAUUGCAACUGUAACAAAGCAGCACAAUGAAUGAAUUGUAUGAAAACUAAUUUGUAAAUGCAAAUUCAGAACAGUUAAUCAUUUUGUAUGGUUUCUUUAACAUGAAAAUUCUUUCAACAAAUAUUGUCAAAGGAACAGUUUUACUUAUGACAAUAAACGGUGACUCAAAGAUAAGCUGAAAGCAAACAUGCUUACCCCAUCAAAUACAUUUAAACAUUAUCAAAUGACUCCCCAUAUUUCAUAGCUAUUUCCAUUAUGUUUUUAAAUUCAUUCAGUGUUUUCAGGUGAGCUGUAGGAAACGUAAUCGUGCGAGUACAUGCGCUUACAGUAGGAAAACACACAGUAUGAUUUGUGUCACAGUCGUGAUUGAACUUCACAGUGAUGUUAAAAUCCUUCUGGUCACUGGGAAGAAUAGGCUUAUGUCUCUGGCCUGUCAUCCACUGCAUAACUUUACCAGCAGUCAUUUGUUCAGCUUCACCUUCUUAAAAACAGAGGGGUGAGGGGGGGACUUGCAGUGGAAUGAAAACAAGAUUAACAGAAUUUUUAUUAAUUAUGUUGUGCCAUUAUGAUAAUACAUACCACGAUCCUCAACUUCCUGUAGGAAAUCCUGGAAAAAGUUCAUUACAUUUACUUCUUUGGUGUAUUUCACAGAACCUUUGUCACUAAAGACAGGGUGGCAAUUCUCCAGAAUGAAGCCUGCAUCCACCUUAAAUAAAAGAGAUAGUGUUAGCAUUUCUAUAUGCCUGUCACAUUUAACAUGUCCUCAUUAUAAAAACACCAUAAGAACCACAAUGGUUUACCUUGUCAUCUUUUUCCCCUGGGACAAACAGUGGUAGACACAGGUCUGGAUGCAUUUCCAUGACUUUCUGGAGAUCAUAGAGCUGCAGGCCUUUUCGCAGCUGAUCAAGCAUUGGAACAACUCUCAUAGUGGAGUGUAAAACAAUGGCUCUAGAGGCAAUGUAAUAAUUUCAUCAAUAAAUAUUUGUUUAAAACAAACAAUAUAAAAAAAAUAUAUACAGAGUAACUCAAUUUUGAUGUACUAUGUUAUAAACAUUAUGCUUUUUAUUUACUGUACUACAUUUCAUAAGAUUACCAACGCAGGUAAAGUUAAAAAAUUUUGUACUCCUCCGAGAAUAAAAAGUAUAGUGCACCUGA